rnacentral:rRNA from 1 species
GACGAACGCUGGCGGCGCGCUUAACACAUGCAAGUCGAACGGAAAGGCCCUGCUUUUGUGGGAUGCUCGAGUGGCGAACGGGUGAGUAACACGUGAGUAACCUGCCCUUGACUUUGGGAUAACUUCAGGAAACUGGGGCUAAUACCGGAUAGGAGCUCCUGCUGCAUGGUGGGGGUUGGAAAGUUUCGGCGGUUGGGGAUGGACUCGCGGCUUAUCAGCUUGUUGGUGGGGUAGUGGCUUACCAAGGCUUUGACGGGUAGCCGGCCUGAGAGGGUGACCGGCCACAUUGGGACUGAGAUACGGCCCAGACUCCUACGGGAGGCAGCAGUGGGGAAUAUUGCACAAUGGGCGGAAGCCUGAUGCAGCAACGCCGCGUUCUUGAUGACGUCCUUCGGGUUGUAAACCGCUUUCGCCUGUUACGACUCGUUCGUGACGGUAAGGGGUAAAGAAGUACCGUCUGACUACGUG